rnacentral:rRNA from 1 species
UACGAAGGGGGCUAGCGUUGUUCGGAAUUACUGGGCGUAAAGCGCUCGCAGGCGGAUCGAUAAGUCAGGGGUGAAAUCCCGGGGCCCAACCUCGGAAUUGCCUUUGAUACUGUCAAUCUCGAGUCCGGGAGAGGUGAGUGGAAUUCCUAGUGUAGAGGUGAAAUUCGUAGAUAUUCGGAAGAACACCAGUGGCGAAGGCGGCUCACUGGCCCGGUACUGACGCUGAGAUACGAAAGCGUGGGGAGCAAACAGG